CGGGCUGUAGCUUAGGUUGGUAAAGCGCCUGGCUGGGGGCCAGGAGAGCGCAGGUUCAAAUCCUGUCAGCCCGA
rnacentral:tRNA from 1 species